UGGCGCCGGCUGUGCCGGGCCGCACCGCGACACGGCCCGGGGACACCGGGCGGCCACAGGCUGGAGAGAGCAGCCCGUGUGCCACUCUCAACAUGGCGGCGCGGAAAGGGAGCCGCAGUUUGCCACUCCCAAGAUGGCGGAAGUGAUAACAGUCACGUGACAGAGCACCACAGAUGGCUGUCGGGGCUGAGCCACACUCAAAAUGGCGGGACGGCGACAGAGGUGUCUCUGACUCUGCCUGAUGUUCCCCGCGCGGCUCCCGCCAGUCCCCGUCGCCGCUGACGCCACCACCUGUGUCUCCACACCGGGAACGCUGAGAAAAAUCGCGCUGAAAGCGCUGGGUCGGCGUCGGGCGGUGGGGUGGAUUUCAGGCAGCCGAAAGACAGACGCCUUUGUGAGGAGUGGGGGACCUUAAUCGUGCCACUCCAAAAAUGGCGGCUUGACCGGAAAUGGCUUCCGCCACAAUCAAAGAUGGCGACGAAGGGCGGAAGUCACUUUUUUUAUGCCACACCAAAGAUGGCGGUUUGACACGCCUCUUUACGGCCUUCCAAAGAUGGCGGCAUCUUGCGCAUGCGCCUUGGGGAUGGGACAAAUGGCGGCCGGGAAGGAACAUGCUCCGUCCUUUCGGCUGCCUGAACGCCACGCCGGCGCCGACCCAGGUCUUUUAGCGCGAUUUUUCAUAACGUUUCCCGACGUGGGAAAACGGGUUGUGCGGAGCUGGGAGCACCCGGCAGGAUGCAGCUCCUCUUUCCUAGGAGGGUUGAGAACUCCACUGGUUCCAUGAAUGGAGACAACAGGAUUGAUGUUCUAUGGAUCCCUUGGCAAAUUGCUGACAAGGAAAAGUCCCCACCAAGGUCUUGUCUGUGGCACCUGCAGCUGCCGUGGCCACUGAAAUGCUCCAGAUCCAGUGGUAUUUGAGAUGAGCUGUGGCAGAAUGGAGGAGCAAACACUUGGGAUUGAUUUACUGCAAGAACUGGGAUUCAGUAGCAGCAAUCAGCUGAGCUGUGGUGAGAAACCUCUCCAGUUUGUGCUCCCAUUCAGCUCCUUCUCCUACCCUGGGCUCCUGGCAGGAGCCGUGGAAUGCCGGAAUGGUUUGGGGUAGAAGGGACCUUAAAAGCUCAUCCUGCUCCACUCCCUGCCACGGGGACAACUUCCACUAUCCCAGCUUGCUCCAAGCCCUGUUCAGCCUGACCUUGGACACUCCCAGGGAUCCAGGGGCAGCCACAGCUUCUCUGGACAACCUGUGCCAGGGCCUUGCUAAAAUCAGAGGGAAGUAUUCCCUCAUAAUAGCAAACCUAAACUCUUCAAAACAAGCAAUGUAGCAUAGAUGCCAAUGAUGGGGAAGAAGCUGGAUUUCACACAGUGGAGGCCGUGAUUUAUGCAGCAGAGAAGGAGCUGCUGAAUAUUAAAGGCAUCAACCAAAGCUGGCAGAAUCCCAGUAAGGAUGUUCUGGAACUUUAACCCAAGAUAUUCCACAGGUUUAUUUGUCCUGGCUGAAAGCACUGUGGUAAAUUUGGAAGGUCUCCAAAGGGCAGUAAAGGUGAUUGGAGGUGUGACAUAACUUGUGAUGGGAAAAGUCAAAAUGCACCAGGACAGGACUGAAGUGGAGGAUAUUUCCAUAAAACACACAAAAUGGAUGUUGGAGCUUUCUUGGAGCAGAAUUUCAGUUCUGUUCAGAGGUACCAACUCAUGCACGGUCUGUGAAAUGUGCACAGAAUGAUACAGGCACCUCUCCACAAGGCAGGAAAUAUUAAUUACGGGGGGUUAACGAACGGCAGGAGCUCUCCUGGCACUGCUCAGACGGGUUUUCCCUCAGGCUGAUGCAGCCAAACUGAUUCCCAGGGUUUCACCACAGCCACAGACCUCUGCCAACGACGGUCAGAGAGUAUCCCAAUCACCACUGAUUCCAAAGAGCUGGACAAGCUCCAUCAAGGAGAAAUAGAAACAGGAUCCAUAAUGGACUUAUCUGGGGAAUUCCAAUUAGGUCCAUGUACUUCCCGGGCAGCAUUCCCAUGGGACCAUACCCUGCGUGUUUUUCUGGAUCCCGGUGCAGCAGAAUCUCAGUGGCCACGGUUGGGAAUUCGGUGAAUUGGAAGCAGAGCUGAAGGGUUUGUCCACUAAGAGAAGUGGUGAUUAUAAACCAAAGCAGCAUGCUAUUCCACACCAUGGAUUUGGGAUUGGUGAUGGUCCCAAUCCAUAAUCUUUGCUCAUUUUCUUUUGGAUGCUGCAGCCUGAUGGGCUGGGGGAGCUGCUCCUUUCCAUUUCCAUUUAAUUUUCUGUAUUUCAUUAAUUCUCUGUGGAAAUCUGCUUUUAAUGAAAGGGCCCAGGAGGAUAUCGAUGUCGUCCCAGGUUCCUGGGAUUCACAGCUCUGUGUUCAGACCAAGGACUGUUCUGGCUGGCAGAAGCUGCACCAAUCUCCCAAGAAUCUCUGGAUUUUCUUCUCCCAAUUCUCAGUUUGGGGGUGCAGUGCAGCCCUGCCCUGUGCAUCUCCUAGAAGAGUUUUGGUGUUUAAAAGGUUAUUUUGUAUCCUGUAGUACUUGUAACUUGAUAAAAAAGUAUAACACUGUAUCAAUGUGGUUUUGAUUGGCUCAUUUACAUUCCUUAAUUAAAGCAAAUAAUUGAGAAGGGGUUUGAGCAGCCCUUGGUUGGAGCUGGCAGCUCUUCCUUAUCUCCUCAUUCACUGAAUUUCUUUGAAUUAUUUCUUAAGCAGUUACUGCAAUCCAGAUGCACAAUGAGGAGAACAGCAUUGCUGCCCUGCUG